ACGGAAGGCAGCAGUAGGGAAUCUUGCGCAAUGGGCGAAAGCCUGACGCAGCGACGCCGCGUGCGGGAAGAAGGCCUUCGGGUUGUAAACCGCUUUCAGGAGGGACGAAGCCACUCGGGUUAAUAGCCCAGAGGGUGACGGUACCUCCAGAAGAAGCCCCGGCUAACUACGUGCCAGCAGCCGCGGUAAUACGUAGGGGGCAAGCGUUGUCCGGAUUCAUUGGGCGUAAAGAGCGUGUAGGCGGCCAGGUAGGUCCGUUGUGAAAACUCGAGGCUCAACCUCGAGACGUCGAUGGAAACCAUCUGGCUAGAGUCCGGAAGAGGAGAGUGGAAUUCCUGGUGUAGCGGUGAAAUGCGCAGAUAUCAGGAAGAACACCUAUGGCGAAGGCAGCUCUCUGGGACGGUACUGACGCUGAGACGCGAAAGCGUGGGGAGCGAACAGGAUUAGAUACCCUGGUA
rnacentral:rRNA from 1 species